UACGGAGGGGGCUAGCGUUGUUCGGAAUUACUGGGCGUAAAGCGCGUGUAGGCGGCGUCGUUAGUCGGAUGUGAAAGCCCUCGGCUCAACCGAGGAAGUGCAUCCGAUACUGCGAUGCUUGAGUGUUGGAGGGGGUGGCGGAAUUCCCGGUGUAGAGGUGAAAUUCGUAGAUAUCGGGAGGAACACCUGUGGCGAAGGCGGCCACCUGGACAACAACUGACGCUGAGACGCGAAAGCGUGGGUAGCAAACAGG
rnacentral:rRNA from 1 species